rnacentral:lncRNA from 1 species
AAUCGUGCAGCUGCAGGCUUGCAGCAGGUUGGCGGGCCAAUGGUCAUAAAGAGAAGAUAACAGGUAUGUCGAGUGCUGUGAGUAUUCCAUUCGUUUAGACAACUACGUUUCCAAGAUCAUCAAGAGGUGUGUUGUUUUCCUUGAGAAAAUCAUCAAUUUGUUUAGCAUUGGUCAAAUCUGUUUGUUGAUCUGAGAUUUUGUAUUCUUGCAUCACCAGAUCAUAGUGUGACAGAUGGGAGAACACACACACACACCUCAAUGGAUGACAUAUUAUAAUUACGGAGACUAGUUGUAAGGAUAAUGGAGUGCAAUUUUCUGAUUCAGUGAUCUGCAGGUUUGAAGAACUAAUAUUGUGUAGAAAAUGGCAAUCGAAUUAUUUAGAUUUAAUAAAUUAGAUUUAAGGAUAAAUUAGUUGGUGCAUUUCAUUAUCAAGGACUAAUAGUAUUAAUAUACUAGGAGCAAUAUGUAGCAAACAAUUCAAAAUUUAAGGAAUGAUCCAUCUUACCCCUCAAGAAGAAGGAAUAAUCCAUUUUAAUAUGUUCCUUUAUAUAUACGGAGAACUUCUUAGUAGUUCGUAUGUCAAGAUGUUUGGAUACUAAAUAAUGGUGCUCUUUCUAAUAAUCAGGCAGACUGUACCCAUUGCCAGUUUAUGUGUGUCUGUAAUUUUUUUGUGGUAUAUCGAGCAAUUGUCCUUGAAAAAUUGAAAUAAUUGAGAUAUCCACAUAAAUGAAAGUUGCAGCCUGCAGCGAUAUGGUUCCUAAUUCAUAUAACGUAGAGAGGACGUUAGGAGUGGAAUGGUCAUCACUUAUUGUAGCAGUUUUCUGAAAAAGUAACAUCUUUUCAUGCAGUGACAUUAAUGUGGCCAUUGAGAAUAUGAGAAGUAAUUCUCAGGAAAAGUGUAUCUUUCAUCUUGCAUAAAGACGAGCACGUGACACCACUGCCACCCUGUCUUAGCGUAACGCGAGUCGAGGUGGACGUCGGACGCCGAGACAAGCGCGUGACACCACUGCCACCCUGUCUUAGCGUAACGCGAGUCGAGGCGGACGUCGUCGCGGUAGCGACGACNNNNNNNNNNGUAACGCGAGUCGAGGCGGACGUCGUCGCGGUAGCAACGACGGACGCCGAGACGAGCACGUGACACCAUUCCCAUCCUGUCCUAGCGUAACGCGAGUCGAGGGGGACGUCGUCGCGGUACCGACGACGGACGCCGAGACGAGCACGUGACACCAUUCCCACCCUGUCUUUGCGUAACGCGAGUCGAGGCGGACGUCGUCGCGGUAGCGACGACGGAUGCCGAGACGAGCACGUGACACCACUGCCACCCUGUCUUAGCGUAACGUGAGUCGAGGCGGACGUCAUCGCGGUAGCGACGACGGACGCCGAGACGAGCACGCGACGCCACGGCCACCCUAUCUAUCUUAGGGUUACGCGAGUCGAGGCGGACGUCGUCGCAGUAGCGACGACGUAAAAAUGUUGGUGUUUUAAAAAUUUGGUAGAAAUUUCAGAAAAUGUUGUUCAUUUCAAAAAAUGAUCGUGUUUUAAAAAAUGUUCUUGUUUUCCUAAAAAAAUUCACAAAUUCAAAAGUUGUUCAUUUCUAUAAAUAUGUUCUUGCUUUUUAGAUUUUCUUAUUAAUUUAAAACUUGUUCGUAGUAGAUCAAUUUAAUGUCGAUUCAACCGAAAAGCAUUAGAUCAAUUUACUUCAGUAAGCUAUUUUUUGUUUAACUAAAUUUUAUUUCUGGAUAGUAUUAACCGAAAAGCAUUAGAUCAAUUUACUUCAGUAAGCUAUCUUAGGGUUACGCGAGUCGAGGCGGUCGUCGUCGCGGUAGCGACGACAGACGCCGAGACGAGCACGUGACACCACUGCCACCCUGUCUUAGCGUAACGCGAGUCGAGGCGGACGUCGUCGCGGUAGCAACGACGGACGCCGAGACGAGCACGUGACACCACUGCCACCCUGUCUUAGCGUAACGCGAGUUGAGGCGGACGUCGUCGCAGUAGGGGACAACGGAUGCCGAGACGAGCACGUGACACCAUUCCCACCCUGUCUAUCUUACGGUUACGCGAGUCGAGGCGGACGUCGUCGCGGUAGCGACGUCGGACGCCGAGACGAGCACGUGACACCACUCCCAACCUGUCUUACCGUAACGCGAGUCGAGGCAGACGUCGUCGCGGUAGCGACGACGGACGCCGAGACGAGCANNNNNNNNNNCUGCCACCCUGUCUUAGCGUAUCGCGAGUCGAGGCGGACGUCGUCGCGGUAGCGACGACGGACGCCGAAAUGAGCACGUGACACCACUGCCUCCUUGUCUUAUCAUAACGCGAGUCGAGGCGGACGUCGUCGUGGUAGCGACGACGGACGCCGAGACGAGCACGUGACACCACUGCCUCCCUGUCUUAGCGUAACACGAGUCGAGGCGGACGUCGUAGCGGUAGCGACGAUGGACGCCAAGACGAGCACGUGUUACCACUGCCACCCUGUCUUAGCGUAACGCGAGUCGAGGCGGACAUCGUCGCGGUAGCGACGACGGACGCCGAGACGAGCAUGUGACACCACUGCCUCCUUGUCUUAGCGUAACGCGAGUCGAGGCGGACGUCGUCGCGGUAGCGACGACAGACGCCGAGACGAGCACGUGACACCACUGUCACCCUGUCUUAGCGUAACGCGAGUCGAGGCGGACGACAUCGCGGUAGCCAUGACGGACGCCGAGACGAGCACGUGACACCACUGCCAUCCCGUCUUAGCGUAACGCUAGUCGAGGCGGACGUCGUCGCGGUAGAGAUGACGGACGCCGAGACGAGGACAUGACACCACUGCCACCCUGUUCUAGCGUAACGCGAGUCGAGGCGGACGUCGUCGCGGUAGCGAGGACGGACGCCGAGACGAGCACGUGACACCACUGCCACCCUGUCUUAGCGUAACGCGAGGCAGAAGUCAUCGCCAUAGCAAUGACGGACGCCGAGACGAGCACGUGACAGCACUGCCACCCUGUCUUAGCGUAACGCGAGUGGAGGCGAACGUCGUCGCGGUAGCGAUGACGGACGCCGAGACGAGCACAUGACACCACUGCCACCCUAUCUUAGCAUAACGCGAGUCGAGGCGGACAUCGUCGCGGUAGCGAUGACGGACGCCGAGACGAGCACGUGACACCACUGCCACUCUGUCUUAGCGUAACUCGAGUCGAGGCGGACGUCGUCGCGGUAGCGACGACGGANNNNNNNNNNUAGAUCAAUUCAAUGAACAUUCCGUUCAACAGGGAAACAAUAGAUCAGUUCAAUUGAGUACGCAAUUUUUGGUAAUAAAAAUACUUUCCUGUAAAGUUUCAAUUGAAAGGGAAUAGAGGGACGAGCUAAUUUAUUUUUCUGUGUAAAUUUAGCACGUGACACCACUGCUACCCUGUCUUAGCGUAACGCGAGUCGAGGCGGACGUCGUCGCGGUAGCGACGACGGAUGCCGAGACGAGCACGUGACACCACUGCCACAACACCAUAUUGAGCAAAAAAAAUUAGAGGUUUAAAAAAUUAUCUAGAAUUUGAAAAAUGUUGAUGUUUUUCAUAAAAAUCACUAUUUUACAAUUUAUUCAAUUUUUUAAAUAAGUUUUUUCUUUGCUUUUUUUUUAAAAUUUGAAAUUUGUUCAUAGUAGAUCAAUUCAAUGAACAUUCCGUUCAACAGGGAAACAGUAGAUCAGUUCAAUUGAGUACGCAAUUUUUGGUAAUAAAAAUACUUUCCUGUAAAGUUUCAAUUGAAAGGGAAUAGAGGGACGGGCUAAUUUAUUUUUCUGUGUAAAUUUAGCUAUUCAUUUUGGUUGAAAGUGCUAGUUCAUUUUGGUUGAAAGUGGAAUUUCCCACCCAUAAAUAUCCCUGAAAAACCACUGGCCCAGAAAGGGAAUGGGCCGGGAAUACAGGCCUAAAGGAAUCAAUGAGUGUAAAGGAAUAGGGGCCAGGGACGGUUCUGGCCCAACGUUGGACCAAACUCGCGAAAAGGGAAUAGGCUGCGAUCGGGAUCGAUCGAAAAAAGGGAAUAGGCUGCGAUCGGGAGGCGGCUGGAAUUGUCGUUACGCUGUCCGAUCCAGCCGGUCGGCCCGAGUUGGUGUUGUGGAUCUGAUUACAUGCGGGAGCGUGCCAAAGGCAGCACCAUGUAUGGAUUCAAGGGAGCGUGUCAUGAAGGGAAGUACGUCCUGCUUAUAGCUUAUUUCGUGUACCCCUACAGAAGCACACUUAUUGAAAUUUCAGUACUGAAUAUAGACUUUGGUUAUCACCAUUUUCAAAUAGGAAGUGGAUCAUCAAUAGGGAUUUUGCUUAGGUACUUCCAUGAAUUAACAGAUGAUAGUUUUUUCCUCUUGAAGUAUCCUUGUGUGUAUAGGAAAUUUGUGACCGUAAGCAUGACAAAUAUAUGAUGUAUACAUACAGUUUUCUAGGUAACCUGAAUUACUAUUCUUGUCCUUUUCCAGCACAAGAGCUCUACCCCAGCACCGCUUCUCCAUCUCUGGUCGUUCCCUUGGCUUCCUCCAUGGCGGCUGAGAAGAUGGGCCACCACUGAAGCCACUUUUGGUAAUCGCUAAACUGUACCUGUGAGAUUAACGAGGUCGCAGCUGAGGCUGUCCGUCGUCGUGCCAGGCUGCCAACUCAUGGCCAAUUUGCACCAGCACUAAUAGGACUCCAGCGACCUGGGAUGUAAUCCAUCUGGAAAUGAGAUGGUGGAGAAUAAUUUGCUCAUGCUCCAUGGAUGCGACGCAUGUAUUGGGGCUAACCUGCCUGGAAGUGAGAUGCAUCUGGAUAUACAUGAUUUAAGUGCUAUACAGAACAGAAUUGAUUUGGGGCUACUGGUCUUUGGUAAGCACCUAUUUUUAGAUGAUGCAUUUGAUUAUUCUGGCAUUCCAUUUUAUGCGCAUCAGAUAAAAUCUGUUUUUCUUUAUCACAGUUUUGUUUGAUGUGGGUUUAUUUGCAUAAUAUUUACUAAAGAAAAUGGUUUGAGGUGAAGAGCCGAAGGCCUGAAGCCAAAUGUUCCUAAUUAGGACGAUGACCUUCAGGAAACAAGGCCAACGCUAUGUGUGCCUGCAAGAUUGAAGAUCCUAGAUAUUUUUAGUUUUCUCCAUGAUCCUACACCAUUGUAUCACUUUAUGCAGAACCCUUUAUCAUUCAUUUUUAUGUUCAAAAUAUGGUUGUCAUAGAUGGUAUUACAGGGAUUUUUUUUCGAAAAGGGGUUUACCCCAGCCUCUGCAUCAGAACGAUGCAUACGGCUCAUAUUACUAAAAGCAUAAU